rnacentral:rRNA from 1 species
UACGUAGGGGGCUAGCGUUGUCCGGAAUCAUUGGGCGUAAAGUGCGUGUAGGCGGCCCGGUAAGUCCGCUGUGAAAGUCGGGGGCUCAACCCUCGGAUGCCGGUGGAGUACUGUCGGGCUAGAGUGCGGAAGAGGCGAGUGGAAUUCCUGGUGUAGCGGUGAAAUGACGCAGAUAUCAGGAGGAACACCGAUUGCGAAGGCAGCUCGCUGGGACGUUACUGACGCUGAGACGCGAAAGCGUGGGGAGCAAACAGG